rnacentral:lncRNA from 1 species
CGGCCGGCCCCGCCGCCGGGUCUGCAGCCCGCACGUACCGCCGGCGGGCGGGCGGCUCGCGAGCACGGCGCAGCGCCGGGAAAGCCCAAGGCCCCCCGGCCGUCUCUUUCAAGAGCGGAGGAGCUGGAGUUGACUGUGCAAUCGUGGCCUGAGAUGUUAAAGGAAAAACAGAGGAUUACAACUGAACUCGCAGGAGGCAGAUGCUAAUAUCUGCAGCCCAGGAUGCACACCCUAGCCCAUCAUUGUCAAGAGAUAGAAGCACGGUUCAAAUUCAGAUCUGCUUGACACCAGAAGAAGUUCAACUAGUCGCCAUGCGGGACAGCCAUGAUGGAAGCUCUGAAACGUCAUCUGUCUUCGAGGACAUGCAGGGGUUAACAGGCUUCAAGUUUCCAGCAAACUGUCACCCACCCCACCCUAUGAAGUCACAAGCCUUAACGUCCUCCAUGAAAGCAAGUCUUUCUCUAACUACAGUGAAACAGCAUAUGACUUGGUCUUCAUUACUUUCACCCACUCUUUCAUAAAGGAGGCAUUGCCUCCCAUAGGUAGCACCGCUCAUCGCCACUCCAAAUCCAUACCUGUCCAAAGGAAUGAACGAAGUUCACUCUCAUUCAUUCGUAUCUCUGAUAUUUAUCACAUUUUCUCCUUCAUUGAUGAAAUCCAAUAAUUUGCAGGUGGUCUGACUUUGGCAAUAGCAGAAGAUGAAUGAUGUCCCACCCCCUUCUCUGCAGGUCGGUUAUGGAGUUGACUACAGUUCGUGUGGUCAGAUCUGUUCCUUAGCUCUGGUUCAAGCCAUUUGGGAAUUCUUUAUUCUGGGGGCUGACUCCUGAGUGGAGCUGGGAUUUUGACCUUGAGAGGAAAGCUUCAGCAGAACCAGGAUUUGGCCCUCGGCCAACCAGCUGCCUGCAGGCCUGGAACCCAAGGCCUCUCCCAGCCCAUUUGUCUCCCCUUUCCAGCUGUCUGGCCUCAGCUACUCAUCAGGAUACUCUGCAGUUUCCCCAGCUCUUUUUAGCCUCAGCUACUCAUCAGGAUACUCUGCAGUUUCCCCAGCUCUUUUUAUCCCAGCAUUUCAGAUUACUUUGCAC